rnacentral:sRNA from 1 species
UGUAUUAACAGCAAUAAUACCAUUACCAA